GGACAGUAUACCGUACAUACAUUUUCAAUGGAGGGACAGAAAGCUCUCGGACUAAAUCUAAAAUAUCUUAAACUGUGUUCCGAAGAUGAACGGAGGUCUUACAGGUUUGGAACGACAUGAGGGUGUCCAACUAAUGCAGAGUAUAUUCAAGUUGCCAACACACGAUUGUGAAGUACCCUUUCCAGAGAAAUAUAAAGGAAAUGACUGUGAAACGUGUGUUGGGGAGGAUUCAAUGUCUGUUGAGAACCAUGUGAAUGUGCUACAAAGUGAGUAUCAGAAAACACCUCCAGACACCUGGACUGUCAAAGACCACACGGCAGGAACAUUCUCCUGGAGAUGCUGAGAAAGCACGGAAGGAAUGUCUGUGGAGGAUGUACUCAAAAAACACCCAUACUUAAGGACACCUGCUGGAGGGGACCCCUACUACACCCUUUCUUACCAUACAACUGAUGGAUACUGACUGGAAAAUGGCUAUCAUAGGCGGAGGGUUCAGUGUGGUGACAGAAGAUGGAAUAGACGUGUGCCAGUGCACCAGCCUUGGUGAAGCCUCUAUAACAGCCUUCUGUAUGGUUGACUGGAAGUAUGUCAGUCCAGAUGUGAGGAAGACAUACAGAGUGGAGUUGGAUGGCUGUGGAGUCAGCAGGUGUGAUGGCUGUGGAUGCAUCUACAAAAACACCACUGGAUACUGUAGCCAUGGAAAGAAGGGGGUAUUCACAACUUUCUAUUCAGACAAAGAGUUUGCUGGAUUCUGUUCUAUGGACUGCUACUACUGAAUGAAUGAAUGAGUGGUUUAUCUAUCUAUCUAUC
ensembl:lncRNA